rnacentral:misc_RNA from 1 species
CGCACAUUGCGCCCUCUGGUAUUCCGGGGGGCAUGCCUGUUCGAGCGUCAUUUCAUACCUCAGGCCCGGCCUGGUUUUGGGAGCGGUGAAGCCACCCUCCAGCAGCCCAUCGGCGGUGCGGUCCGGCCCCAGGCGUAGCAGAAUUAUCGUCUAGGGACCGCGGCGGCGCCCGCCGGGUAACUUGUACCCAAAGUUUGACCUCGGAUCAGGUAGGGAUACCCGCUGAACUUAA